rnacentral:sRNA from 28 species
AAAGAUCGAUACCGAGGAGGGCAUGGCGCCCCGGAGAAUCCCCUGCUCACGCAGGCAGUCCGUACCGUGUACUGGCUGAAACUCCCUAUACCUCAACAAGCUGUCACUCCGGCGUGAAGGUAUCGUUCU